CUACACGGGUAUCUAAUCCUGUUUGAUCCCCACGCUUUCGCACCUCAGCGUCAGUUACAGACCAGAGAGCCGCCUUCGCCACUGGUGUUCCUCCAUAUCUCUGCGCAUUUCACCGCUACACAUGGAAUUCCACUCUCCUCUUCUGCACUCAAGUAAAACAGUUUCCAAUGACCCUCCCCGGUUGAGCCGGGGGCUUUCACAUCAGACUUAUUCUACCGCCUACGCGCGCUUUACGCCCAAUAAUUCCGGAUAACGCUUGCCACCUACGUAUUACCGCGGCUGCUGGCAC
rnacentral:rRNA from 1 species